rnacentral:rRNA from 1 species
AAUAAAAGUAAAAAUAUUAUAGAAGAAAUUAAAUGAUAAACCAUUAAAUUUAAAAGAUUUGGCAGUAUUUAAUAUUUAGAGGAACCUGUAUAGUAAUUGAUGAUCCACGAUAAGAUAUACUUAAUUGAAAUUUUUAUGUAUUGCUGUUUUAAAUAUUUGAUUAAGUUAGAUAGGAAUAUAAUUUAUAAGAUUAAUAAUAAAAUAAUUCAAGUCAAAAUAUAGAUUAGUUAAGAUUAAUAUGGGUUACAAUUAAUUAAAUUAUUGAAUUAAGGAAUUUAAUUUUUUUAUGAAAAUGGAUUUAAAAGUAAAUUUAAUAAAUUAAUUAGGUUGAAUAUUAAAUUAAAUAUGU